UGCGGGAUGGUGUAGCGGUAGCACACAUGACUCUGGAUCAUGUAGCGCUGGUUCGAAUCCAGCUCCCGCAGCCA
rnacentral:tRNA from 1 species